rnacentral:rRNA from 1 species
CCGUCCUUGGGGUAGUUACGGUCCGUCUAAGGUCUUAAACUCAAAGGAAUUGACGGGGCCCGCACAAGCGGCGGAGCAUGCGGAUUAAUUCGAUGCAACGCGAAGAACCUUACCAAGGCUUGACAUUCAGGGUAAACCAUCAGAAAUGGUGGUCCGCAAGGGAUCUUGAACAGGUGGUGCAUGGUUGUCGUCAGCUCGUGUCGUGAGAUGUUGGGUUAAGUCCCGCAACGAGCGCAACCCUCGUUC